AUUGAACGCUGGCGGCAUGCCUUACACAUGCAAGUCGAACGGCAGCACGGGUGCUUGCACCUGGUGGCGAGUGGCGAACGGGUGAGUAAUAUAUCGGAACUUACCUUAUUGUGGGGGAUAACGCAGCGAAAGCUGCGCUAAUACCGCAUAAUCCCUAAGGGGGAAAGCGGGGGACCGUAAGGCCUCGCGCAACUAGAGCGGCCGAUACCUGAUUAGCUAGUUGGUGAGGUAAAGGCUCACCAAGGCAACGAUCAGUAGCUGUUCUGAGAGGACGAUCAGCCCAACUGGGACUGAGACACGGCCCAGACUCCUACGGGAGGCAGCAGUGGGGAAUUUUGGACUAUGGGGGCAACCCUGAUCCAGCAAUGCCGCGUGAGUGAAGAAGGCCUUCGGGUUGUAAAGCUCUUUUGUCAGGGAAGAAACAGCAGCUCUAACACAGUUUGCGAAUGACGGUACCUGAAGAAUAAGCACCGGCUAACUACGUGCCAGCCGCCGCCGUAA
rnacentral:rRNA from 1 species